UGUGUGUGCGUGCGUGUGCUGCAUGUGUAAUGUGUAUGUGUUGCAUGUGUAAUGUGUGUGUGUGCGUGUGUGUGUGUGAGUGUGUGAGUGUGUGCGUUUAUCUGUAAGGUGUGUGUGCGUGUGUGUGUGGCAUGUGUAAUGUGUGUGUGUGUGUGUGUGUGUGAGUGUGUGCGUUUAUCUGUAAGGUGUGUGUGCGUGUGUGUGUGGCAUGUGUAAUGUGUGUGUGUGUGUGUGUGUGAGUGUGUGCGUUUAUCUGUAAGGUGUGUGUGUGUGUGUGGCAUGUUGUGUGAGUGUGUGUGUGUGUGUGUGUGUGUGUGUGUGCUUAUAUAAAAAAGAAUGUUUAAGCUUCACAUGUUCUUCUGCAUGACAGUGAUUCUGAGCAAUACUGGCCUGUGACAUUUCCACAAGAUGAGCUGUGAUUCUUUCUGCUGGAGGCACAGCUAUCCAACCCAGGGGCACCAACAGGGAUUUUGGGCCCUAUGAAAAAGAUCUCACACUGGGCCCACCACUCCAGAAAAUCCUAUAUUCUAAAAAAAAUUUUGAGAGCCCCUAUCAGUCAGGGCGCUUGGAAUUGAACUCUGAAUUGUACUGGUACCUUUGACCAACCAUGUUAGUGGAGCUUGCUAUUAUCAUCAAAAUCACUUUGAAAUUUGUACUUUUAAAAAAAAACACUGUUACUCGCAUGUAAUGAUGUCAAAGUACUGACUGAAUACAGCCUUGGUGAUGUAAACGUAGCAGGUUGGAAAAAAAAGACCUCAAGAAAUUCCAAGCUUCCUACUCAAUUUGUUUUACCUAUGUCCAAACGCACUUUAUUAACGUAAAAUAAGACCUCAACGCAGGCCAACUGCUUUGUUAAGUAACAACUUGAAGCAAGUGUUACGUAGAAUUAUGAGUUGGGUAGUCAAUGAGGUGAAUGAAAAGCAGAACAGAGGAUUAAUAGAUGACACUUCACUUGAACUAUAUGCCAUAAAGCCUAUGUAACACUUCCGUUAGCAUGGCAUAACAUGCCAUAAGCAGCUAUAACAGCAUUUUACAGCUCAUGAAUAAUGUCAUAAUAUAUGCACUGAUUUUUACAAACUUUAUCAAGUUCAUAAUAACUGUUAGAAAAUUAUUACUGUUUAUGUUAUGACAUUGUUAUGACAUGGCUGUCGGAAAGCUCUAAUACACUGUCAGGACUGGUUAUGACAGCUGCUAUGUCAUCCUUAUGACAGCUGCUAUGUCAUGCUUAUGACAGUAUCAUAUAUGCUGAAUGACCUAUAGUUCAAGUAACAUUACAGAAUCAUACGUUAUCUUUACCAAACCCCUUCAGUGAUGCCUCUGCAAUUCAGGUUUAAAAAAAAGAUUCUAAUGUUCCUUUUGUCUCACAUAAACACACAGUUCUGGUAACACAUGCAUCUUGUGAACUAUAGAGAUUUUUUAUGUUCCAUAAUGAGAUAGUCCAGGUGUGUCAUACAACUUAAGAGUCAUCUUUGCAGUGCUAUUGAACUUAUUUUUGUAACUCUGGAUACAACCAGAGCAUGCCAUUUAUCACAUUAUCCUAUAGUAAAAUGUUGAAUAAUGCUUGGUGUAAUAUUAAGAGAACUAUAUCAUUUUAAGCAGUUUUUUUCGGCUAAAAUGUAUAUAUUUGUACAAACUGUAAUGACUGCUUUUUAAAACCUACCAAAUAAAAUGUUGCUAACAUAG